UACAGAGACUGCAAGCGUUAUUCGGAUUCACUGGGCGUAAAGGGUGCGCAGGCGUCCGUGUGUGUAAGGUGUGAAAUCCCGAGGCUCACCCUCGGAACUGCGCCUUAAACUACAUGGCUAGAGUAUUGGAGAGGGUAACGGAAUUCACGGUGUAGCAGGGAAAUGCGUAGAUAUCGUGAGGAACACCAGAGGCGAAGGCGGUUACCGGGACAAUUACUGACGCUCAGGCACGAAAGCAUGGGGAGCAAAAGGG
rnacentral:rRNA from 1 species